CCAGCAGCCGCGGUAAUACGAAGGGUGCAAGCGUUACUCGGAAUUACUGGGCGUAAAGCGUGCGUAGGCGGCUUGGCAAGUCGGGUGUGAAAUCCCGAGGCUCAACCUCGGAACUGCACUCGAAACUGCUGGGCUCGAGUCCCGGAGAGGGUGGCGGAAUUCCCGGUGUAGGGGUGAAAUCCGUAGAUAUCGGGAGGAACACCAGUGGCGAAGGCGGCCACCUGGACGGUGACUGACGCUGAGACGCGAAAGCGUGGGGAGC
rnacentral:rRNA from 1 species